rnacentral:lncRNA from 12 species
UCGCGCACCUGCCGACCAGUCGUCUCCCCCGAGGUAAAACUCCCGGCACCAACAGAGGGAGGGCCGCCACGCAGCCGCGCGGGUUCCCGGCCCGCCGGAGGCCGCGCGUCCCGGUCCCUGGCGGGGUCGGCGCCGCGCCCCAGCUCUGCGUCUCCCCGGCGCCCGGCGCAGCUGGGUGCCCGCGGGUGCGGUCGCCGCGCGAGCCCACGACGCGAGCCCCCGCCACACCUUGAACACGCGGGAAGCGAGACUCGCCCCGGACUCGGCCGGGCCUCCCGCCGCUCGCCGCCGCCUGGCCCUUCGCCUCCCAGUCCCCGAGGGGGCCCAGGAGCAGGUGCCCCCCGCCCCCCGCCCCCCGCCAGCGCGCACGGGCCCGGCUCCCGCGUCAGCCCCGCCCCGCAUCCCGGGGCUGGAGGAGCCGCCGCGACCGCGCGGAGGGCCGGGAGCGAGGGUGGGCCCUCUCCCCGCCGGCUGCUGGAGCCUCCCGGGCGGACCCCGCCGCGGCCGCGGGUCCCGGCCGUCCCGGCCGCCGCACAGCCGGCGUCCCCGCGGGACCCGAACACGGCGGGCGGCGCCUGCCCCGAGGCUGCGCCCGCGGCCGCCGCCGCUCCCCGCGCCCGGCUCCACGCGCGCGGCGAAAGCAGGCGCAGCCCCUCGCUCGGGGAAGCGCAGCCGCGGAUCCCGGGGUUACGUUCAGCCUCGGCACAAGACCGCGCUCCGCGGCCCGAAUCCCCUGCCCUGCCCUGCCCUGCCCUGCCCUGCCCUCCCGUAGCCAGAGGAACGCGGGGCGCGGAGGGCUCGUCCAGAGGCCCCUCGGGACCUCCACGCGGCAGCAGCCUCCCGAGCCAGCGCAGCCGGGAAGCCCUAGAUCCGACCUUCGGAGUGUCCCCGCGCCGGGCGGGCACCAGGCCCACAGCUACGGGCUCCGGACGUCUGCAAGCAAGCGCACGACGUCGCAGUCCUGUCCUUGUUAUCAGUGGCCUCGCUGGCGGUGCUCUCCUGGACUCACACUCCGGGGCUUUUUUUUUUUUUUUUUUAACAGCAAACCUAAGAUCUUUUGCCUUCUGA